GUUCUGCUUGCCAUAGUGGACAUGGCAUCUGCCCGGUAAGCGGAACAUUGUGGGUUCGAUUCCCAUCCCUGGACA